GCGCCUAUAGCUCAGCUGGAUAGAGCAGGUUCUUCGUAGGUCCCCGGUCCCGGGUUCGAAUCCCGGUAGGCGCU
rnacentral:tRNA from 1 species